CGGGCAGGCUGUAACGUCGCACGGCCUCGCCUCUGUCCUCAAGCGACUGUGGAGUAAUAACCAUGCUGACAGCUGAACAGAAAGCUGAAAUCGUUAAAGAAUAUGCUCGUGGCGCC
rfam:Marinospirillum alkaliphilum DSM 21637 genome assembly, contig: Ga0002112_scaffold00007.7